rnacentral:rRNA from 1 species
CCUACGUGUGGCAGCAGUGAGGAAUAUUGGUCAAUGGGCGAGAGCCUGAACCAGCCAAGCCGCGUGAAGGAUGACGGAUCUAUGGUUUGUAAACUUCUUUUAUAUGGGGAUAAAGUGAGGAACGUGUUCCUUUCUGUAUGUACCAUAUGAAUAAGCAUCGGCUAACUCCGUGCCAGCAGCCGCGGUAAUACGGAGGAUGCGAGCGUUAUCCGGAUUUAUUGGGUUUAAAGGGUGCGUAGGUGGUUAAUUAAGUCAGCGGUGAAAGGUUGUGGCUCAACCAUAAAAUUGCCGUUGAUACUGGUUGUCUUGAGUAUAUUUGAGGUAGGCGGAAUGCGUGGUGUAGCGGUGAAAUGCAUAGAGAUCACGCAGAACUCCGAUUGCGAAGGCAGCUUACUAAACUAUAACUGACACUGAAGCACGAAAGCGUGGGGAUCAAACAGGAUUAGAUACCCUUGUAGUC